rnacentral:pre_miRNA from 1 species
AGGCAGUGUAGCGUUAGCUGGUUGUAAACCUGUUACCAGCUCACAAUUCAACUGCUGUCU